CUACGGGACGCUGCAGUGGGGAAUAUUGGACAAUGGGGGCAACCCUGAUCCAGCCAUGCCGCGUGUGUGAAGAAGGCCUUUUGGUUGUAAAGCACUUUAAGCAGGGAGGAGAGGCUAAUGGUUAAUACCCAUUAGAUUAGACGUUACCUGCAGAAUAAGCACCGGCUAACUCUGUGCCAGCAGCCGCGGUAAUACAGAGGGUGCGAGCGUUAAUCGGAAUUACUGGGCGUAAAGCGAGUGUAGGUGGCUCAUUAAGUCACAUGUGAAAUCCCCGGGCUUAACCUGGGAACUGCAUGUGAUACUGGUGGUGCUAGAAUAUGUGAGAGGGAAGUAGAAUUCCAGGUGUAGCGGUGAAAUGCGUAGAGAUCUGGAGGAAUACCGAUGGCGAAGGCAGCUUCCUGGCAUAAUAUUGACACUGAGAUUCGAAAGCGUGGGUAGCAAACAGGAUUAGAUACCCCGGUAGUC
rnacentral:rRNA from 1 species